UUCCCCAUAUCUCCACUCCCUCAAAUCUCUCCAACAAACCAAAUCUCCACAAAAUUAUUAUAUAUCCCUUCUUAUAAUCUCAGUCAUUUAUCACCACUGUUCCAAAUUUCUUGUGCAACUUCUUCUUUUCCACAAAAGUCAGUUCCGUGACAUUACAGUUUGAAACCAAAGAGUUGUGAUCUUGAAUACCUUCUGCUUGUGCAAGUUUUCUUCCUUCCAAAGGGUGAACUUUGCACAUUAUUUGUGGUUGGAGCAGAAAGUGAUUGAGGAGCUAAGUGAACGAGGUGAGCUUUCUUUUUAAAUAAGGGCAAUGCCCUAAGUAUAUUUUUAUAUGAAAAUGAUAUGAAUAUUUGUCAUGCCGUGUUUUGUUUUAUCUAUGGAACCUAUCUGCUGUGGCUUUUGCCAUCUAUGGAUAAUCGAAUUAGGAUCUGGCUAGGGAGUGAGUCCCUACUCAGGCUAGUGUACACCAAUGGGGAUCGUGAGCCGUCUUUUGGGUCGGCCGGUCUAGUGACUUGGAAUGUGGCCACAUUCCUUGUCAUCAAUGGAUCGGAUAUGGUAGACAUCUAUGGGAAAAUGACUGCAGUCGAAUUUUACAAUGGAAAUGAUUUUAGUGUCUCGGACAUUUUUUUUAAGUUAAACCCCGAGAACACUCAAUGGUGGCAUGAUAAAUACUUUUUUAUAAAAUGUUUUCGACAUGAGUCCACUGAGUGCAUCAAGUACUCAGCCCUGCAUUUCUUUUGAAAAAUGUGCAAGUUGAGCUGUGACGAGCGCGGUGGGUGUUGAGCAUAAAAGUGAAGAAGAUAACAAAUAAAAGAUCUCGAAUAUAUUAUGUCUUCACACAUAGUAUUAUUCUUCUCUCGAAUGCUUCCGCUGAAUGUUGUUUCUUUUAUUCCAAGUAUUGUUGAGAUAAUAUUCGUUUCGAAUUGUUGAAUUGAUACUCUAAUUUUAUUCGAGCUAUUCCAUUUAUGUUGA